AGCACUAUAUUUAAACCAAUGGAUGGACAUUUUCCCCAUUCUCGGUUACGCUGUAGUGCUAAAGAAUUCCCUGGCUCUUCUUCCCCAGGCACAGCUGACCGCCAUUUGGCUGUUGCUUUGUGGAGUGAAGGAACACAG
ensembl:snoRNA